AACAUGUGCUAGGGGUGCCUUAAUGGCUGAGAGAUGUCUUACAUUAACCCUUUUACCUGAUCUGGCUAAUACCAGCGUAGGGAAGCGAUAGUAUAUAAAA
rnacentral:ncRNA from 2 species